UCUCCUAAUCAUAAACUUUAUAGUAUGAGGCCUGGAAAUCAUGGGCUGAUGGGAAUUAGAAACCUGUUUACCUGAAUUAUUGUUUUCAGCCUUAGAACUUUAUACACAUACUAUGCCAUUGCCCAUAUCCCCUAAGAUGAGCCUGUGGUCCUUCUUUUUUUUUUUUUUUUCUGAGGCAGAGUCUCACUCUGUCACCAGGUGCUAGGCUGGAGUGCAGUGGCACGACCUUGGCUCACUGCAACCUCUGCCUCCUGGGUUCAAGCAAUUCUCCUGCCUCAGCCUCCCGAGUAGCUGAGACUACAGGCGGGUGCCACCACACCCAGCUAAUUUUUUUGUAUUUUUAGUAGAGACAGGUUUCACCAUGUUGGCCAGGAUGGUCUCGACCUCUUGACCUCGUAAUCCACCCGCCUCGGCCUCCCAAAGUGCUAGGAUCACAGGCGUGAGCCACUGCGCCCAGCCAGUCCUUCUUCUUUACUGGUUUGCACAAGUCCUGCAAGGGGUGGAAAUUUGUGACAACUUCCUCCCCAUCAUAAGGGUCAUGGCCAACAUUUUUAACUUCUACCACAAAAGACAGGUUAACAAGGGGAAAACAUAUUUAUUUAAUCAAAGCUUUACAUGAUGCAGGAACCGUCAAAAUGCAGAUCCAAAAACCCAAAGGAACACUAUUUUUAAGCUUAGAGUUGAUGAAGAGUGGACAAUUGUGUAGAAAUGUGAUUGGACAUAUGGGGAAUGAUCUAAUAGUAAUAGACUGAGUGGGGAAAUGUAGCAAGGGCUGUCUGUUCAUAAUCUUUUUGUUCUCUAUGUUGUAGCAUUUAUUCCUCCUGGGUAUGGGUCAAGACCUUUCUGGAAGUGUGGUUCUUAAGACCUACUAUAGGACAAAGUUACAGCCAUAUAUGAUUGCCACGCCUCAGUCAAAACCCAACAGAAUGAAGCCAGGAAGAAAAAGUGCAAAAAUGCAGUGGUGGUUGUGCAGAUAUUCUGUGGAAACAAACAAAAGGACUCGCACUGAACCUGGAAGAGGGAAAAUCACAUGUUCUGAAGAGGAUUGUUAAUCUUUGAUUCAUUGCUUUUAUUUCAAAUGUCUACUUCUCCUCAAUGACAAGAGUAAUUAUUUAUAGAAAUUAUAAACCCUGUAGCCUUCCUGCUCUAUACAAUAUUUAUAAUGGAAAAAAUAUGUCUAAUUCCAUUUUGGGCUUAAUUUUUUGUGUGAAGAACCCUGAAUAUAAAUUUGAGCUCAAUGGAGAUUAAAAUUACUGUUUUACUUGAAUUUUUUAAGGAUAGUUAUGAAAGUGCUUUUAAUUAUUUUGGCUACAUUCUUUAUUUUUCUCUUUUAACAGAUAAUCUUUCUUUGUUGUUUUAUCUGUGUUGUUAAAAUUAUAUCUGCAAAUGUAAUGGACUUUCGAAAGAAAAAAUUAGUUUGCUCUUAUAUUUGCAUGAUAUUCAAGGUAUAACAGCAAAGUACAAUGAGGUUUGGCUAACAACAUAGUUCAAAAAUAACUUAUGUAUUUUAAAGUAAUUAACACAAUACUUCUAUGGUCUUACUUUGCAAUGUGAGUCCUAAUCAAAUAAUUUUGAAAAGCUUAUCAAGUCACUGGCUGUACACAACUAUGAUUUUAUAGAUGUUUUUAUUCAUGUAACUUAACCACCUUGAAUGUGCUGAUCCUUAGUUGUAACUCAUUGGCAAAAAAUCAGUAGCUUCAUUUUGGUAAAGGUUGUUACUUACUUCACUGUUAUAAUUUCUUUAUAAAUCUUGUUGAAAUGCAAGUCUUUAUAAACCAGAACCAGUAACAGAACUAAUUUGUUCCUUUGCCAGUCAUUCUCAAGCUUACUGUUUUUAAAAAUUGAAAAUGGCAAAACAAAGACAGUAGAACUAAAAAAAAAAAACUAAAAAAUCCCAAUACAAAGAAAUGAAACUAUAAUCCAUAUCUUCUCAUCUCUACCACCAUCCACUGCUAAUGCAGAAUAUCUUAUUAGAAUUUUUUAGCCCAAAUUUUCGUAUUAUUUGUUUACUUUGUUAAAUUUCACCAUAUGUUAACUUAGUUUUCCAGUUCUUCUUAUCCUGUAAAAAGAACUUUAGCAUGUUUAUCUCAGCAGGUUGUGUAAAUGAUGACAGAUAAUGUUAAAAGGCUGAGGAGCACUGUGGUAGGUAUAUAGCAAGUGUUCAACCAAAUAUGACUGUUAUCAUUAAUAUUCAGUACUUGUUUCUGCUUAUAAAGAUGAUAAAAUCAUGGAUUUCUUGAAGACUUCCUCAUACCUCUGUCUAGUCUCAGGUACAAUUCAGUAGCUUUAACCAAUUGUAAUUCCUCCUAUUCUUGACACAUUGAGACUUUCAUUUUUUCCAAUUUAUGGUUUAAAUAUCUGCAGAUUCUCUAGUUUGCUUAUUUUUCAUCUGUAGUAGCUGAUCCCAUGUGAAUUCCAAAGACAACUCCUCUACUUGCUAUCCAAAGACUAGUUUACCUUUUUCAGUCGCUUGUUACCCUUUCAGUUUCCUCUACCAGUUUGUUUCAACUCAAUUGUAUGUACUAGCAAAGCUAGGCCAUCUCUGUUUUUAAACUAUCAAUAAAGAGUUAUGUCAAACCGUAAAUAAAUAUGUUGAAAUGUAA